UCUCCGUUGGUGAACCAGCGGAGGGAUCAUUACAGAGUUGCAAAACUCCCAACCCUUUGUGAACGAACCUGACAGUUGCUUCGGCAGAAGGCCCUUCACUGGGCAGCCCGCCGGAGGGUCUCCAAACUCUUGUUUUUUUAGGCAUCUCUGAGUAGCUUAUAAAUAAGUUAAAACUUUCAACAACGGAUCUCUUGGUUCUG
rnacentral:misc_RNA from 1 species